rnacentral:lncRNA from 1 species
GCCCUCUACAAAGGACCUGUGCAGCCCACGGAACAACUCCGCAGUUCUCAGCUUGGAGAAAGGAAGGGGAGAAGGGGUCUUCUGGCCCACCAAGUCGAGGGACAUUGAGGAAGUAAUGAAUCUGUGAUGCGUCCAGAAGAAAAUUCACCCUCUGGGAAAAUGAGCUUCCGUAUUCAUGCUUGGUGUAUCUCCAGCAGUAUCUGCUCUACCUCCAAACAACACUGCAAUUAUUUUUUUUCACCCCGUGGGUGAAAAACCGCUGCCCUAUCUCCCUCAUUUAUUGACUCACACUCCUCCCACAAAACUACAGUGUUGAGGGAUCAGUAACAGAAAUGUUCAAGAAGGCCACACUUGUCUUUAUCACUAAUAUGUGACAUGUAAGAUGGCUUGAAGGAAGUACUGAAAUUAACACCCAGAUGUAAAAGAAUACCCGAAGAUGCCUAGCUGGACAUUGCUAAUACCAACAUUGCAACAGAUCAAUUUGGACAUAAAGCAAACUAUUCAAUAGGGAAGCUAACUAAUAUUCUCUAAUUAGUUAUAAUGAGCAUUUUAAUAGUCUAUGCUGUAUAAAAACAUGUUUAAAUUGAUAUUUAAAAUACACAGCUUCCUAUUCUUUGAAUUAAAUAUUUAAUGUUAUUUUUCCUUAUAGACAAAAAGUUACCUUGAGUCUGCUGGUUUUACAAAAUGAAUUGAAAAUGGAAAUAAAUGUUCCCGUUUAGGCCCCAUUUAAGAGUCACUAGAUUUAGUGUUUAGCUUUUAAUAAAAAUUAUUGCACCCUCUAAUUGGCUGUAAAUUAGGUCCUGUUCUCAUAUUUUACAUCUGUAGAUACCGACAGUUCUUAAACAGUGGAAAUUUUGUGCACAUUCAUAUAAUCUGCUGAAAGUAUAAACAAUGAAAAACGUGGCUGGAAUUUAUUCAUAUUUUUGUACUGACAGAUGAGGCAUUUCAGUUUCAGCUGAAUGAAAGGAUUUUUAAUGGAUUAAUUUAAAGCCAGCACUGGAAUUAUGCAAAAAGAAA